rnacentral:rRNA from 1 species
AGGACGAACGCUGGCGGCGUGCUUAACACAUGCAAGUCGAGCGGAAAGGCCCUUCGGGGUACUCGAGCGGCGAACGGGUGAGUAACACGUGAGCAACCUGCCCCUGGCUCUGGGAUAGCCUCCGGAAACGGGGAUUAAUACCGGACAUGACCUGGGACUGCAUGGUUCUGGGUGGAAAGUUUUUCGGCCAGGGUGGGGCUCGCGGCCUAUCAGCUUGUUGGGGGGGUGACGGCCCACCAAGGCGACGACGGGUAGCCGGCCUGAGAGGGCGACCGGCCACACUGGGACUGAGACACGGCCCAGACUCCUACGGGAGGCAGCAGUGGGGAAUAUUGCGCAAUGGGGCGGAAGCCUGACGCAGCGACGCCGCGUGCGGGAUGAAGGCCUUCGGGUUGUAAACCGCUUUCACCGCAGACGAAGCGAGAGUGACGGUAUGCGGGGAAGAAGCGCCGGCUAACUACGCGCCAGCAGCCGC